GGAUUGUGGCUCAGUGAUAGAGUGCUUGCCUGAUGUUCAUGAGGCACUGGGUUUGAUCCUCAGCACCA
rnacentral:tRNA from 1 species